AUGAAGUUUUCGGAUGGAUUUAAAACAGCUUAGUGGCGGACGGGUGAGUAACGCGUGGGUAACCUGCCUCACACUGGGGGAUAACAGUUAGAAAUAGCUGCUAAUACCGCAUAAGCGCACAGUACCACAUGGUACAGUGUGAAAAACUCCGGUGGUAUGAGAUGGACCCGCGUCUGAUUAGCUUGUUGGCGGGGUAACGGCCCACCAAGGCGACGAUCAGUAGCCGACCUGAGAGGGUGAUCGGCCACAUUGGAACUGAGAGACGGUCCAAACUCC
rnacentral:rRNA from 1 species